UGAAGGUGCUCCUUGGAUUGGAACGGAUCAGGUCCUAGACAAGCCCGAUCCUCCCAGUUCAGGAGCACUUUCCUAUUUCCGACACCCCAACAGACGAUCAUCGCCGUGAAAG
rfam:Frankia sp. EAN1pec, complete genome.